ACCUGUUGCGGGUGGCAGCUGAGGGUGCCCGCAACUCAAGACAGAACACCGUGCCACGGGAACAAACGGGGCACUUCAGGGCGUU
rnacentral:sRNA from 25 species